AGUCGAGCGAACAGAUAAGGAGCUUGCUCCUUUGACGUUAGCGGCGGACGGGUGAGUAACACGUGGAUAACCUACCUAUAAGACUGGGAUAACUUCGGGAAACCGGAGCUAAUACCGGAUAACAUAUUGAACCGCAUGGUUCAAUAGUGAAAGGCGGCUUUGCUGUCACUUAUAGAUGGAUCCGCGCCGUAUUAGCUAGUUGGUAAGGUAACGGCUUACCAAGGCAACGAUACGUAGCCGACCUGAGAGGGUGAUCGGCCACACUGGAACUGAGACACGGUCCAGACUCCUACGGGAGGCAGCAGUAGGGAAUCUUCCGCAAUGGGCGAAAGCCUGACGGAGCAACGCCGCGUGAGUGAUGAAGGUCUUCGGAUCGUAAAACUCUGUUAUCAGGGAAGAACAAAUGUGUAAGUAACUGUGCACAUCUUGACGGUACCUGAUCAGAAAGCCACGGCUAACUACGUGCCAGCAGCCGCGGUAAUACGUAGGUGGCAAGCGUUAUCCGGAAUUAUUGGGCGUAAAGCGCGCGUAGGCGGUUUUUUAAGUCUGAUGUGAAAGCCCACGGCUCAACCGUGGAGGGUCAUUGGAAACUGGAAAACUUGAGUGCAGAAGAGGAAAGUGGAAUUCCAUGUGUAGCGGUGAAAUGCGCAGAGAUAUGGAGGAACACCAGUGGCGAAGGCGACUUUCUGGUCUGUAACUGACGCUGAUGUGCGAAAGCGUGGGGAUCAAACAGGAUUAGAUACCCUGGUAGUCCACGCCGUAAACGAUGAGUGCU
rnacentral:rRNA from 1 species